rnacentral:rRNA from 1 species
GAUGAACGCUGGCAGCGUGCCUAAUACAUGCAAGUCGAGCGAACGGACGAGAAGCUUGCUUCUCUGAUGUUAGCGGCGGACGGGUGAGUAACACGUGGAUAACCUACCUAUAAGACUGGGAUAACUUCGGGAAACCGGAGCUAAUACCGGAUAAUAUUUUGAACCGCAUGGUUCAAAAGUAAAAGACGGUCUUGCUGUCACUUAUAGAUGGAUCCGCGCUGCAUUAGCUAGUUGGUAAGGUAACGGCUUACCAAGGCAACGAUGCAUAGCCGACCUGAGAGGGUGAUCGGCCACACUGGAACUGAGACACGGUCCAGACUCCUACGGGAGGCAGCAGUAGGGAAUCUUCCGCAAUGGGCGAAAGCCUGACGGAGCAACGCCGCGUGAGUGAUGAAGGUCUUCGGAUCGUAAAACUCUGUUAUUAGAGAAGAACAUAUGUGUAAGUAACUGUGCACAUCUUGACGGUACCUAAUCAGAAAGCCACGGCUAACUACGUG